rnacentral:rRNA from 1 species
GAUGAACGCUGGCGGCGUGCCUAAUACAUGCAAGUCGAGCGAACAGACGAGGAGCUUGCUCCUCUGACGUUAGCGGCGGACGGGUGAGUAACACGUGGAUAACCUACCUAUAAGACUGGGAUAACUUCGGGAAACCGGAUCUAAUACCGGAUAACAUGUUGAACCGCUGGGUUUAACAGUGAAAGACGGUCUUGCUGUCACUUAUAGAUGGAUCCGCGCCGCAUUAGCUAGUUGGUAAGGUAACGGCUUACCAAGGCAACGAUGCGUAGCCGACCUGAGAGGGUGAUCGGCCACACUGGAACUGAGACACGGUCCAGACUCCUACGGGAGGCAGCAGUAGGGAAUCUUCCGCAAUGGGCGAAAGCCUGACGGAGCAACGCCGCGUGAGUGAAGAAGGUCUUCGGAUCGUAAAACUCUGUUAUUAGGGAAGAACAACUGUGUAAGUAACUAUGCACGUCUUGACGGUACCUAAUCAGAAAGCCACGGCUAACUACGUG